rnacentral:rRNA from 1 species
UACAGAGGGGGCAAGCGUUGUUCGGAAUUACUGGGCGUAAAGGGCGCGUAGGCGGCCCGCUAAGUCGAACGUGAAAUCCCCGAGCUCAACUCGGGAACUGCGUCCGAUACUGGCGGGCUUGAAUCCGGGAGAGGGAUGCGGAAUUCCAGGCGUAGCGGUGAAAUGCGUAGAUAUCUGGAGGAACACCGGUGGCGAAGGCGGCAUCCUGGACCGGCAUUGACGCUGAGGCGCGAAAGCUAGGGGAGCAAACGGG